rnacentral:lncRNA from 1 species
UUUGGCCAUUUGAUAUAUUUGUUCAGGAUACGUAUGGGUCGACCCAGUAUUUGAUUUGAUUCGAUUUGUUUGGCGGAUUAGUGACGUAUGUGUCGUGCGUACUAUCCGAUUUGAUUUGUAUACAUCAUGGUACCGAUGUAUUUUGUUAGCCUUUGGCUAUUUGUAUUUGAGCUCAGUAUGAAAUUGUUACCGUAUAACCAUUUGAUUCAGCCUUAUUUGUUUGGGAUUCUUUUGGCUAUAAUUAUUCGAUUGACAGUGUUAGUCAUUUGUAAAUGGACUCACAAAUUUUGAUCUAUUCGUAAUUCGUUUGUAAUUCACAUGUGUUCAUUCAUUCAGCUCUUUUAGAUUCAUUACUUAUUGUGAUAUAUUUAUUCAUCUUCGUAUUCGUACUGGGCAAUUGGCUCACGCUGUGUUCUUUUUCCGGCAGGUAAUCAGGGGUGAUCAGGAUAUGUGGGAUGAGAGCUACCUUUGAUCCAAAUGAGUAGAUUAGUUUUGAGAAUUAUUAUUAGACUUGGUGUUCAUAAUAUCUUGUUAAGGGAUGUUUGGGCCAUUUUGGCAUUUAUUUCUUAUUAGUAGAGACUAUGUAAA